rnacentral:rRNA from 1 species
GAUCAUGGCUCAGGAUGAACGCUAGCGGCAGGCUUAAUACAUGCAAGUCGUGGGGCAGCAGGUUUGUAGCAAUACAGGUGCUGGCGACCGGCAAACGGGUGCGGAACACGUACAGAACCUUCCUUUGAGCGGGGAAUAGCCCAGAGAAAUUUGGAUUAAUACCCCAUAGUAUAAUGAAGUGGCAUCACUUUAUUAUUAAAGAUUUAUCACUCGAAGAUGGCUGUGCGGCUGAUUAGGUAGUUGGCGGGGUAAAGGCCCACCAAGCCUGCGAUCAGUAACUGGUGUGAGAGCACGACCAGUCACACGGGCACUGAGACACGGGCCCGACUCCUACGGGAGGCAGCAGUAAGGAAUAUUGGUCAAUGGAGGCAACUCUGAACCAGCCAUGCCGCGUGGAGGAUGAAGGUCCUCUGGAUUGUAAACUUCUUUUAUAUGGGACGAAAAGAGGCUUUUCUAAGUCGUCUGACGGUACCAUAUGAAUAAGCACCGGCUAACUCCGUG